AGGCAGCCCCGUUUCUGGCUGGGGCUGUGGGGCACUUGGGACAUGUGCGGGCUGCGUUCCUUGGGAAGCAGAUUCUCAGACGGGGGAGGCUAGUGCGUGGGAAUCUUGUGACAGCAUGCUCGUGGAGCCAAGGCCUGUCGAGAGGAAGGGAAGCACGCAGAUUUGGGCAGAGGGAGAAUCGGGCUGCAGUGUAGCGUCAGGGAAGGCUGCACUGACCCCAAGGGGAGCUCUGGAGGUGGGAUGGCCCUUCACAAUUGUCCCAAAUUGGGACUCAACUCUGUUAAACCCUCAUGUUAACCAGUCAUUUGAUGUUGGCUGCCCUGGGAGGAGGGCCUGACCGUGGGCAAGGCAGCUCUCUUCAGAGGUCGUUCCAAAGACAGUUGAAGGUAUCAGCUGGGAGAUGCCCCUCAGUCCUGAAGAGAGUUUGAACAGAUGCAGAGGUCUUUGGGGCCUUAGCACCCCCAAGGAAGAAGCACAGAUCUGUGCAAAACCCAACUAUCCCCGGAAAUGACUCUUGGUGCCUUGCAGUUUCAAAAUCUACUGAUCAAACUGCAUGGCCUUUACAUUCCA